rnacentral:rRNA from 1 species
UUUGAAAUCUGGCGCCUCCGGCGUCCGAGUUGUAAUCUGGAGAGGCAUCGUCCGCGGCGGACCUCGUACAAGUCCUUUGGGAUGAGGCGUCAUAGAGGGUGAGAAUCCCGUACGUGACGAGGACUACCGUCGCUUUGUGUCGUGCCCUCGAAGAGUCGAGUUGUUUGGGAAUGCAGCUCAAAAUGGGAGGUAAAUUCCUUCUAAAGCUAAAUAUUGGCGAGAGACCGAUAGCGAACAAGUACCGUGAGGGAAAGAUGAAAAGAACUUUGGAAAGAGAGUUAAACAGUACGUGAAAUUGCUCAUAGGGAAACGCUUGAAGUCAGUCGUCUCGGCUGGGACUCAGCCCGGGUUCUCCUGGGUGCACUUCCUAGUCGAGGGGCCAGCGUCAGUUUCGAGCGCGGAAGAAGGGCGUGAGGAAUGUGGCACCCUCGGGUGUGUUAUAGCCUCGCGUCGGACGCCGUGCUUGGGACUGAGGAC